AUUGAACGCUGGCGGCAGGCCUAACACAUGCAAGUCGAACGAGUGGCGGACGGGUGAGUAAUGUCUGGGAAACUGCCUGAUGGAGGGGGAUAACUACUGGAAACGGUAGCUAAUACCGCAUACCAUCAGAUGUGCCCAGAUGGGAUUAGCUAGUUGGUGGGGUAACGGCUCACCAAGGAGACGAUCCCUAGUUGGGCUUAGAGGAUGACCAGCCACACUGUAACUAGGCCACGGGCCAGACUCCUACGGGAGGCAGCAGUGUGGAAUAUUGCACAAUGGGCGCAAGCCUUAUACAGCCAUUCCGCGUGUAUGAAGAAGGCCUUCGGGUUGUAAAGUACUUUCAGCGGGGAGGCGUUACCCGCAGAAGAAGCACCGGCUAACUCCGUGCCAGCAGCCGCGGUAAUUC
rnacentral:rRNA from 1 species